rnacentral:rRNA from 1 species
AACGAACGCUGGCGGCAUGCCUAACACAUGCAAGUCGAACGAGACCUUCGGGCCUAGUCGCGCACUCGUCCGUAACGCGUGGGAACCUGCCUUUAGGUUUGGCAUAACUCCCCGAAUGGCGUGCUAAUACCGGUUCUUAUCCUGGAUCCAAAGAUUUGUCGCCUUUGGAGGGUCCUGCGUUGGAUUGGCUAGUUGUUAGGGUAAAAGCCUACGACUGGUACGUUCCAUAGAUGGUUAGAGAGGCAGGGCAGCGACACUGGGCCGAGGACACGGCCCAGAAUAUUACGCGAGGCAGCAGUGGGGGAUAUUGGAAAGUCGGCGGAAGCAUGAAGGUGCUAUGACGGGUGAGUGAUGAAGGCUGUAGGGUUGUAAAGCAAUUUUACACGGGAUGAUAAUGACAGUACCGGGAGAAUAAGCACCGGCUAACUCCGUG